UACAGAGGGCCCAAGCGUUGUUCGGAUUCACUGGGCGUAAAGGGUGCGUAGGUGGCAGGGUAAGUUUGAUGUGAAAUCUCCGGGCUUAACCCGGAAACUGCAUUGGAUACUAUUCGGCUUGAGGUCUGGAGGGGGGACUGGAAUUCUCGGUGUAGCAGUGAAAUGCGUAGAUAUCGAGAGGAACACCAGCGGCGAAGGCGAGUCCCUGGACAGGUCCUGACGCUGAGGCACGAAAGCUAGGGGAGCAAACAGG
rnacentral:rRNA from 1 species